AAAAACCAGUGCCUGGACCCAGAGGAGAGACCCAGGCCAAGCAAGUCCUUUAAGACCAGAUAGGGCUUGGGAAGUGAUUGUGGAGGGAAGGUAGGGUUAAGGGGCCUUCAGGGAUGAGCAGAAGACACCAGGGAGGCCUCAGAAAAGAAUCAGUAUCUGGACCAGAAGAGCUGGAGGGGUGGACGUGGAUCCUCAAACCCCUGGUCCACUGCGCACUUACUUUCUUCAUCUUUCUGUGAAUUACAAGAUAAUACAGAUAAGCAGCAGGGAAUAUAAGGAAAAAAAUGGAAGCUCCCUCCUUCCCAGUUUCCCGUAGUCUCCUGUGGCCAUCAUUUCAUGCCAGAACAUACGCACCCUCUGCCUCCUGUCUUUUCCUGGCUGUAUAGUAUUCCACUGCAGAGAAGUGCAUGCCUGCCCUCUGGUGGACAUAAUAGGUAGCAUUUCUCUGUUGGUGGGCUCCAGUUUUCCCCUGUGCCACACAAGACUGGACAGGAUGUCCAUAGAGAGAUCUGGCAUAGGUCUGGAGCCAGCAGUUACAGAUUAUCCACCUUGCCAAGCGAAGCAAAGGGAGCAACU
ensembl:lncRNA